GAUGAACGCUGGCGGCGUGCCUAAUACAUGCAAGUCGAGCGAACGGACGAGAAGCUUGCUUCUCUGAUGUUAGCGGCGGACGGGUGAGUAACACGUGGAUAACCUACCUAUAAGACUGGGAUAACUUCGGGAAACCGGAGCUACUACCGGAUAAUAUUUUGAACCGCAUGGUUCAAAAGUGAAAGACGGUCUUGCUGUCACUUAUAGAUGGAUCCGCGUUGCAUUAGCUAGUUGGUAAGGUAACGGCUUACCAAGGCAACGAUGCAUAGCCGACCUGAGAGGGUGAUCGGCCACACUGGAACUGAGACACGGUCCAGACUCCUACGGGAGGCAGCAGUAGGGAAUCUUGGGCAAUGGGCGAAAGCCUGACGGAGCAACGCCGCGUGAGUGAUGAAGGUCUUCGGAUCGUAAAACUCUGUUAUUAGGGAAGAACAUAUGUGUAAGUAACUGUGCACAUCUUGACGGUACCUAAUCAGAAAGCAACGGCUAACUACGUG
rnacentral:rRNA from 1 species